rnacentral:lncRNA from 1 species
GUCAUGACCUAAUGCAAGCUGCCAAGCCAGCAGCAGCAGUAGAUGAGGAGCUAUGGAGAGCUGUGUGGUCUAACUUCCCCUCUACACUCUGGAAUUUCUGCAAAACAGACACAGUAGAUGGCGAUCCCUUCAACAGAAUGAAUCAAAGAGCAAAUAAUCCAGACAGAAUAGCCACCUCUAACCCUGGCCAUGCCUUCUGCUGGAAGCCUAUCUAAGGACAUGGAAGACAGAAGUCUUUGACCUGCCUGUCUGCUCUCC